rnacentral:rRNA from 2 species
GAGUUUGAUCUUGGCUCAGAUUGAACGCUGGCGGCAUGCCUUACACAUGCAAGUCGAACGGCAGCACGGGAGCUUGCUCCUGGUGGCGAGUGGCGAACGGGUGAGUAAUGCAUCGGAACGUAUCCUGGAGUGGGGGAUAACGUAGCGAAAGUUACGCUAAUACCGCAUAUUCUGUGAGCAGGAAAGCGGGGGACCUUCGGGCCUCGCGCUCUUGGAGCGGCCGAUGUCGGAUUAGCUAGUUGGUGAGGUAAAGGCUCACCAAGGCGACGAUCCGUAGCAGGUCUGAGAGGAUGAUCUGCCACACUGGAACUGAGACACGGUCCAGACCCU